rnacentral:lncRNA from 1 species
UUUCUUACGUGAGAAUAAAGUGAAUUUUAUUUUAAUGUGAAAGAGAAUUCUGAGGAAAUAUUAAAAAUUUAUGUGUAAAUGGAUGCAUGGGGGCUCGUAACGGACUAAAAUAAAGUAAAUGGCUUAAUGUUUUUCAACGUAUGGAGAUAUUUUGAACUAAUUCUUCUGGCUUUUUGAUGGGAUUACAAAUGGGUUUCCAAAAG